GGCGUCCCGGGGCCGGUGGGUGAGCGGCGGGGAGCGGCGGUUCCGGCAUCGGUUGGACUUAACUGCAGAGUUUUGAAGAUAUGUAAGCCAGUGAACCUUGAUAACAGGAUGUGAUCUUCACAGGUGGUUGCCCUGCCUGGAGCACCUACUCUUGUAUAAGUCACUCGCCGAGGAGACCAGCUCCAGUGCGGGUGCAGGACCUUGUACUUGGCCUUCUUGAACCUCAUGAGUUCUGCGCGGGCCCACUCCUGAAGCCUGUGAGGACCCCUGGAUGGCAUCUCUUCCCUCUAUCAACUGCACCACGUCCUGAGCAAGCAUUCACCGUGGGAAUAAGGUAUCCAGCGGAAAGGAAGACUUUAGAUUUUUAA